ensembl:miRNA Gm25642 predicted gene, 25642
UCCUAACAGGGGGAACAGGAGCUGUCUCUGACUGACUCUGCUGUCUGCCUUUAGGACCCUUUCCUC